UACGUAGGGUGCAAGCGUUGUCCGGAAUUAUUGGGCGUAAAGAGCGUGUAGGCGGCCCGACCAGUCCGCUGUGAAAGUCCAGGGCUCAACCCUGGAAUGCCGGUGGAUACUGUCGGGCUAGAGUCCGGAAGGGGCGAAUGGAAUUCCCGGUGUAGCGGUGAAAUGCGCAGAUAUCGGGAAGAACACCCGUGGCGAAGGCGGUUCUCUGGGACGGUACUGACGCUGAGACGCGAAAGCGUGGGGAGCGAACAGG
rnacentral:rRNA from 1 species